AAUGAACGCUGGCGGCAGGCCUAACACAUGCAAGUCGAGCGGACGAACGGAAAUUGCGCUUGGCUUCAGUGGCGGACGGGCGAGUAAUGCCCAGGAAUCUACCCGGCCGUGGGGGAUAACGUAAGGACGCGGGCGCUAAUCCAGCAUAGGUUAAGAGGGUGAAAGGGGGGGUUCUAAGGACAUCACGCUAUUUGAUGAGCCUAGGUCGGAUUAGCUAGUUGGUGUGGUAAAGGCCUACCAAGGCGACGAUCCGUAGCUGCUCUGAGAGGGUGAUCAGUCACACUGGAACUGAGACACGGUCCAGACUCCUACGGGAGGCAGCAGUGGGGAAUAUUGGACAAUGGGCGAAAGCCUGACCCAGCCAUGCCGCGUGUGUGAAGAAGGUCUUCGGAUUGUAAAGCACUUUUAGUUGGGAGGAACAUCAGUAAGUGUAUAUCUUGCUGUUUUGACGUUACCUACAGAAUAAGCACCGGCUAACUUCGUG
rnacentral:rRNA from 1 species